rnacentral:misc_RNA from 1 species
AAGUCGUAACAAGGUUUCCGUAGGUGAACCUGCGGAAGGAUCAUUAACACGUAUCCAAACGUUAAAACAACCCUGUGAAUAACCAUCAAUCUGAAAGUGUUUGGUGAAUUGUGCAAGGGCAGCGCAGUCAACGAUCGGUGGUCCACACGGCCAUCGACCGGGGGUCGUUACCUCCCUGUGGGGCCUAGUUCAUUCAGGUUGAACAUGAUGCAUGUCUACCGCGCCCGACGAAAGUCCGACGCACCCCUAACCGAACAACUGUUAACAAUGGAUAUCUUGGUUCUC